rnacentral:rRNA from 1 species
CAUACCAUCCUGAAUGGGCCUGAUCUCUUCUGAUCUUGGAAGCUAAGCAGGGUCGGGCCUAGUUAGUAUUGGAUAGGAGAAUAAUACAGGGU